rnacentral:rRNA from 1 species
CAAGUCGAACGGGCUAGUGCUUCGCACCUAGUCUCUUUCUGGGGUUGUUACUCUAAGGUACCUGCUAAAGUUAUUGCUUUAAAGCAGGGGUUUUAGGAGACUUUUCCGAAAGGGGCCAGUGCGGAGCACUGGCCAGUGGCGAACGGGUGAGUAACACGUGGGUAAUCUACCUCGAGUGGGGAAUAAGCUUCCGAAAGGAGGUCUAAUGCCGCAUAACGUUUCAUAACGAUGGUUAUGAAACCAAAGCCCAAAAGGCGCUCGAGGAGGAGCCUGCGUCCUAUCAGCUUGUUGGCAGGGUAAUGGCCUACCAAGGCUAUGACGGGUAGCCGGCCUGAGAGGGUGUCCGGCCACACUGGAACUGAGACACGGUCCAGACUCCUACGGGAGGCAGCAGUGGGGAAUUUUGCGCAAUGGGGGAAACCCUGACGCAGCGACGCCGCGUGGAGGAUGACGGCCUUCGGGUUGUAAACUCCUGUCAGAAGGGACGAAAUCCCGCAAGGGACUGACGGUACCUUCAGAGGAAGCCCCGGCUAACUACGUG